AAUGGGAUUAGAUACCCCAGUAGUCCUAGCUGUAAACGAUGGAUACUAGGUGUAGCUUGUAUCGACCCGAGCUGUGCCGUAGCUAACGCGUUAAGUAUCCCGCUUGGGGAGUACGCACGCAAGUGUGAAACUCAAAGGAAUUGACGGGGGCCCGCACAAGCGGUGGAGUAUGUGGUUUAAUUCGAUGCAACGCGAAGAACCUUACCAGGGCUUGACAUGUCCGGAAUCCCGGUGAAAGCUGGGAGUGCAUUCGGGAGCCGGAACACAGUUGGUGCAUGACUGUCGUCAGCUCGUGUCGUGAGAUCUUGGGUUAAGUCCCGCAACGAGCGCAACCCUCGUCUUUAGUUGCCAGCAUUAAGUUGGGCACUCUAGAGAGACUGCCGGUGACAAACCGGAGGAAGGUGGGGAUGACGUCAAGUCAGCAUGCCCCUUACGCUCUGGUCGACACACGUACUACAAUGGUCGGGACAGAGGCCAGCGAACCUGCGAAGGCAAGCUAAUCCCAGCAAACUCGGCCCCAGUUCAGAUCGCAGGCUGCAACUCGCCUCGCGUGAAGGAGGAAUCGGUAGUAAUAGCCGGUCAGAAUACGGCGCCGAUCCAGUUCCCGGGCAGUUGUACACACCGCCCGUCACACCAUGGAAGCUGGCCACGCCCGAAGUCGUUACCCUAACCUUUCGGGGAAGG
rnacentral:rRNA from 1 species